GGGGAUUUAGCUCAGUGGUAGAGCGCUUGCCUAGCAAACACAAGGCCCUAGGUUCAGUCCCCA
rnacentral:tRNA from 1 species